CUAUGUAUGUGCCGCAAGAUUCGAUGUGAUGGGAAAUCUUGUAAAGUUUUGGGUGUAUCUAAACAAGGCCGUAGGCUCCGGAUCCAGACCUUUUCGGCCGCCACGUUGAACCAAACCUACCCGAUUCCAGUGGACAAAAGCCCAACCAAAGCGAGAUUCGGUGGAUCAAAGCCCAACUCCGACUGUCCUGAAUUCCGGUUCAGAAUUCCGCAUGUCUUUCCUCUAAAUAAAAGGAGAAAAUUGCAUUUGAACUGCUAAAAA